UCGGGUAAGUUUUGGAUUUUUCAGAAGAGGUUUGGACCAUGUUUGGAUUUCCAAAAUAGUAAGUCACCGCGAUUGGGGUGCGUCGCAGUGUAAUAGCAAUGGAGGCAUUGGUAUGUCACAGUGAGGGUUCAAUUGACAUCCCAGUUACGAAUUCAAAUUUCCUAGGGGCAGUUAGGUCUUUUCCCAUGGUUCCAAUCCAUAAAAACACGAGAUUUAUCAUUAUUUAAG
rnacentral:lncRNA from 1 species